CUACAGAGGGUGCGAGCGUUAAUCGGAUUUACUGGGCGUAAAGCGUGCGUAGGCGGCUUUUUAAGUCGGAUGUGAAAUCCCUGAGCUUAACUUAGGAAUUGCGUUCGAUACUGGGAAGCUAGAGUAUGGGAGAGGAUGGUAGAAUUCCAGGUGUAGCGGUGAAAUGCGUAGAGAUCUGGAGGAAUACCGAUGGCGAAGGCAGCCAUCUGGCCUAAUACUGACGCUGAGGUACGAAAGCAUGGGGAGCAAACAGGAGUAGAUACCCUAGUAGUCC
rnacentral:rRNA from 1 species